CGGAGGGAUCAUUAAA
rnacentral:rRNA from 1 species